GGAGCGUACGAGUGAUGCGGUCGCAGCCGUCACUUGGAGUCGAAGGUGGAAGGCGCCUGAAAGAGAACACAAGUUGGACGUGUCGAUGGCAGGGGUGGGUCUGACACUCAUUAGCAGAGACUCUGAAAAUGCCGGAGCUGAAAAGUACCUGCAAGCAGUGGAGCUAAAGACCAGUCAUGAAGAUGCUUCCACGUCUGAGUAGCUACACACUGGAGUAGUUCUCCGGAGUGCACUGUGCUCAUGGGUGAAAAGCAAUGUCAUUUCGAUUUGUUGCUGAUUCUGUGUGAAGAUACUGUUUCCAUCAGCAUGUCUUAAUAUACUAAACUUGUCCCCUAAGCCCAUCCUCUGAAGCUUGGUGCUACGGUAGGUAAACAAAAGUGACUUUACAUUGGCGGGACUACAAGCCCAGACAUAGCUAAAAGAAAAAGAGAAGAAAAAAAAAAAUCAGCCGUUAUUAGCAUGCUUGUGUAAGGCACAUCUGGUUCAAAGCGCCCGCGAUGCUCAGCACCGGCCGGGAGCAGGAUGGGCUCCCCGGCUCCUCCACACCACGGCACGGCAGCCUCUGAGCGAGGGGCCACGGGUACGCGCUUCUCCCAGCAAAACGCCCCGACGGAGGCUCCGAGAGGGGGGUUCUGUGGGCUGAGCGCCCCGAUUCCCACACGAGCAGCCCCUCUCCCAGCACGGGGCUGCGAGCGAGGCCACGGCCAGGCUCGGGACAGCCGAGGACCAACACGGCCAUGCCCGGGCGUGUCGGACACCCCUCAGGGAUGUCCCCGCGGUGGGAACCCACCGACCACCGCUUUGUGCCCAGGCCUGGCACCCGGGCAGAAAACCUCCAUUUCCACAAUUGCGCUUUAUAACCGCGGGGCUGAGCGAGCCAAGGACUCUCUAAGACUGAAGCCAAGUACUCUACACCUGCUCCUAACUCUGGAGGCCAAGCACCAUAAAAAGGCACGAGAUUAACACCCCUGAUCCGCCACCUUUUUUUUUUUUUUAAAAAAAAAAAAACAGAUAAAGACUGAGAUGCCAACAACUACUGCUUUUUUCCUAGUUAACUCUUUGGUAGAAACAUAAUUUAGACAGUCUUUAAUUUUAGUGUUGUUUAAUUUUUGCCAUAAUGAUAUUUCUCAUUAAUUUAUGUACAACAGAUAUUAAUAAAUUUGUUCGUGUA